GACGAACGCUGGCGGCGUGCUUAACACAUGCAAGUCGAACGGAAAGGCCCUGCUUUUGUGGGGUGCUCGAGUGGCGAACGGGUGAGUAACACGUGAGUAACCUGCCCUUGACUUUGGGAUAACUUCAGGAAACUGGGGCUAAUACCGGAUAGGAGCUCCUGCUGCAUGGUGGGGGUUGGAAAGUUUCGGCGGUUGGGUAUGGGCUCGCGGCUUAUCAGCUUGUUGGUGGGGUAGUGGCUUACCAAGGCUUUGACGGGUAGCCGGCCUGAGAGGGUGCCCGGCCCUCUUGGGACUGCGAUACGGCCCAGCAUCCUGCGGGAGGCAGUAGUGGGGCAUAUUGCACAAUGGGCGGAAGCCUGAUGCAGCAACGCCGCGUGCGGGAUGACGGCCUUCGGGUUGUAAACCGCUUUCGCCUGUGACGAAGCGUGAGUGACGGUAAUGGGUAAAGAAGCACCGGCUAACUACGUG
rnacentral:rRNA from 1 species